CACAAAUAUCCCAGCAGGGCUACUGCGAUGGAUUUCCUGGUCUGGAGACAUUGCAAUCACAGAUAAUAGCCCUUCUGGGGCUGGUACCUCAAGCAAAGGGCUCUGCAGCUUCAGAUCUCCUCACAGGGACAAGCUGCAAAGCACCUGCACAGAAACAAAGUGCUAGUGUCAGGGAUGCUGCUGAGCAGUUUAUGCCCCACAUCUGGUUUCUGCUGAGCCUCACUGGGCUGCCUUGCAAAAGCCACACGUGCCUGCACAGCUGCAGAGUGACAGAGCCAUCGCUCCUGCAUCCCCCCCCCCGUCUGCCCCACUGCAAAGAACACGCACGGGCGUAUCUCCAAGGCUUCCAUCAGCAAUACUGCACCCAGAGCCUGGCCAGGAACCCCUCAGCC
rnacentral:lncRNA from 1 species